rnacentral:rRNA from 1 species
AGUGAACGCUGGCGGUAGGCCUAACACAUGCAAGUCGAACGGCAGCACAGUAAGAGCUUGCUCUUACGGGUGGCGAGUGGCGGACGAGUGAGGAAUACAUCGGAAUCUACUUUUUCGUGGGGGAUAACGUAGGGAAACUUACGCUAAUACCGCAUACGACCUACGGGUGAAAGCAGGGGAUCUUCGGACCUUGCGCGAUUGAAUGAGCCGAUGUCGGAUUAGCUAGUUGGCGGGGUAAAGGCCCACCAAGGCGACGAUCCGUAGCUGGUCUGAGAGGAUGAUCAGCCACACUGGAACUGAGACACGGUCCAGACUCCUACGGGAGGCAGCAGUGGGGAAUAAUGGACAAUGGGCGCAAGCCUGAUCCAGCCAUACCGCGUGGGUGAAGAAGGCCUUCGGGUUGUAAAGCCCUUUUGUUGGGAAAGAAAAGCAGCAGGUUAAUACCCCGCUGUUCUGACGGUACCCAAAGAAUAAGCACCGGCUAACUUCGUG